rnacentral:rRNA from 1 species
GUAGGGAAUAUUGGUUAAUGUGCGAAAGCGCGAACCAGCAACGCCGCGUGUGCGAUGAAGGCCUUCGGGUCGUAAAGCACUUUUUGCAGGGAAGAGGAAGGACGGUACCUGCAGAAUAAGUCUCGGCUAACUACGUGCCAGCAGCCGCGGUAAAACGUAGGAGACGAGCGUUAUCCGGAUUUACUGGGCGUAAAGCGCGUGCAGGCGGCAUGGCAAGUUGGAUGUGAAAGCUCCCGGCUUAACUGGGAGAGGUCGUUCAAUACUGCUAGGCUUGAGAGUGGUAGAGGGAAGCGGAAUUCCGGGUGUAGUGGUGAAAUGCGUAGAUAUCCGGAGGAACACCAGUGGCGAAAGCGGCUUCCUGGCCCAUUUCUGACGCUCAGACGCGAAAGCUAGGGUAGCAAACGGGAUUAGAUACCCCAGUAGUCCUAGUUGGGA